UACGAAGGGGGGCUAGCGUUGCUCGGAAUCACUGGGCGUAAAGGGUGCGUAGGCGGGUCUUUUAAGUCAGGGGUGAAGUCCUGGAGCUCAACUCCAGAACUGCCUUUGAUACUGCAAAUCUCGAGUCCGGAAGAGGUGAGUGGAAUUCCUAGUGUAGAGGUGAAAUUCGUAGAUAUUAGGAAGAACACCAGUGGCGAAGGCGGCUCACUGGUCCGGUACUGACGCUGAGGUGCGAAAGCGUGGGGAGCAAACAGGG
rnacentral:rRNA from 1 species